GUCGCGGCCCGGCCGGGAGUGGGGCCCGGCGCUGCGGGACACCGCCCGGGAGUGGACCGCGCUGUGGGCAGGGAGCUCCGCGUACCCCGCUGCUGCCCUGUCUCCCCCUGGGGCGGGCGGAUUUGCCUGCCCCUGCACUAGGAUUGGCUUUCCGUCCAGGUGUCCCACGCCAGGUGCUGAGGCUGGGAGGCUGUGCAGACGCGGCUGGCGCACCCCACGCUCUGAAGGUUCAGUGUGAGAAGGCUCUGAGGGCCCCUGGGCGCACACGGGAUGGGGCAAGCACUGCCGGGCUGCUGCGGGCACGCUGAGCCAGCGCGGCCUGCAGCAGCACGCACAAGGCAAGGGCAGCGCCAGGAGUUCCAAUUUUAACUCCACCUGUCGGGACUUCAUCAGGAUGAGAAUGACCUGCCUUUUCUUCAGAGAUCAGAAGAGAAAAAAAGCUGAAUGUGUGCUGUUUGCAUCUCUUCCCUCAUUAACUGUGCUGGUAGUAUGAAAUCUUUCAUUAUUUUCCUUCCUUGCUAUAAACCUUGGGAGUGUAUUUUGGUAACCUUGACAAUCCUCUGAGCAGGUUUUGCUGUACCUUCAAUCAACUCAGUGCACAAAAUGAGGCAAGCAAAAUACAGAGUUUGCAGCAAUGAUUACUUGUGAGUUUAGAGACUUCUUGUCUUCCUGUUGGCCAGAACUUAUGGAGAAGAUUCAAGACGAGCAGUUCUUUGGAGGAUGAUCUUUAUGUUCUGUCCUAACCCAUGGAGAUUUUGUGUAACAUUCUUCUUAGGCUUCACAUUUCCAUAAUGAAACAUAAAAAUAGAUUCUAAGUACAUUCCUUGUUCCAGGUGCACAAAAAGCUGAGAGGGAAAUCUGCAGAUCAUUGUGGUGUGUCCUAUAUCCUAUGUGCUGUUUCUCAUAUAAUCUUUCUUUCCCAAUAAAGAUCCUUGUGACUAAUAAA